rnacentral:rRNA from 1 species
UACGGAGGGGGCUAGCGUUGUUCGGAAUUACUGGGCGUAAAGCGCACGUAGGCGGCUACUCAAGUCAGAGGUGAAAGCCCAGGGCUCAACCCUGGAACUGCCUUUGAAACUAGGUAGCUAGAAUCUUGGAGAGGUCAGUGGAAUUCCGAGUGUAGAGGUGAAAUUCGUAGAUAUUCGGAAGAACACCAGUGGCGAAGGCGACUGACUGGACAAGUAUUGACGCUGAGGUGCGAAAGCGUGGGGAGCAAACAGG